CUCCUCAUGUCAGUAGACACGGAAAAUAUCAUACCCCUCCCAUCUUCUCCUUUACUCCACCAGUCCACCUGAGUCUUCCUGCUGGCGUCCCCUACUCUCCUCCAUGGCGCUGGCUCUCCGACCAGGACGGCGCAGGCGAGCGCUGCGCCGAGCGGGCGAGGAAGGCAUGCGAGGGGCGGAUAGCAGGUGCAGGCACCUGCUCCGUGCGAGCAUGAAUGGCAGCCGGCGGAUGCGCAUCAGGCGGUCCAGUGCUCUUGCUUGCAAAAUAAAAACGAAUUUCUAUUCACUGGAUCCAAAUCGCCCCAACCCAAAUUGAGCCUGUUGCCCUCAAAUUAAGCUCUCUAACUCAUCACUUCUAUCUACUUCUUCUUAGGCCUCGAAUCCAUCUGCCCACUCUGUUCGUUCCUGUUGUGACUGCACCCUUGCCAUUGCCUUGCUCCCGAGUCCCAUCACGCUUCUGGCAUUUGCUCUCUCUCGUGCGCUACAGCAGCGCGGCUCACCAGCGAGGGCUGCGCUGAUGAGGGCCGUAUCGCAUUGCGCUGUCAACGGAGGCACAACUCGCUUAUGAGGGUCAUGCUGUGAUAUGGCAGUGUCUCCAGCGGGCAGCACAGGCGCGCAAGGCGGCCCCUGCCAGCACCAACGGCUGAUUUGUAGCACGCGGCAAGGUCUCAGGUCUGUAGCUCCAUCCGCUCCAAUUCCACCUCCUGCUGUCCACAUGUGUCUCAUCAAUGGAGGAUGCACACUGUGUUUGAUGAUUUGCCAGUGCAAACCAAACCAAUGAUCUGUUCAUGGAGGUGCACACCAUAUGUUUGAUAGUUUGCCUUGGCAAUGGUGAGUCGGUGAACAAUCAACCAUGCCCAGAUUUCUGCACAGAUAACAAUAAAAGUGAAUAGAAAUGCGCUGGCACAUUCAGUUUACUUGCCUUGUCUAAGGUCAUAAUUCUAGUUUCUAGCUCUCGGAAAUUAAUCAUAUUUUUGUAACAAUAAAUUUGUAAUAAUCUAAAAGUUUCUUGGGCAUGCUCCUGUGGUAAUUUUGUAUCAAGUUCAGCAUAUUGCAUGUUUGCAUUUGGAAAUAGACAAUGAUUCUUUAUCCUUUAACCUUUAUUAACCAUGCCCUAAUUUCUGCAAAAGUUUGAAUAAAAAGUGACUACACAUGUAGUUGGCAAGGAGUCCUAUUUGAUGAAAACAAGAAGGCACAUUCUGUCUACUUGCAUUGCCUUAGUGUUCUUUGAGAUAAAGCUCUGCCCAAGAUCCUUUUGCAGUGAUGUUGUACUAUUAACUUUUGUGGUGACUGCUUCCAACUGAGCUGUUGUGCUUUCUGUGUAGUGAGACA